rnacentral:ncRNA from 1 species
UUGAGCCGUAUGCGGGGCCAACCCGCCCGUACGGUUCUGAGGGGAGGAGAUUACAGCAAUGCGAUCUCCUUACCCGAC